AACGCAUAUUGCACUCUCUGGUAUUCCGGAGAGUACGCCUGUUUCAGUAUCAAAAAUGUCAUCCAAAGUUUUGAUUUGUUUGGAUCAAAACUUGUGGGAUUUGGGUUUUUGCGGAAAUAUUUCUGCUGACCUUAAAUAAUUUAGCCACAAAAAAAUCCAGGUGAUAAGGCGUAAUAGUUGGUGCUUUUGGUUCCAUCCUUUCGCUGAAGCCUGUCUUUUUUUUUAAUCACUGGCUCAAUAAUAUGGAGAAACGAAAUAUGUAUAUAUUUCACCAUUGUUUAGAUCUGAAAUCAGGCGGGACUACCCGCUGAACUUAA
rnacentral:misc_RNA from 1 species